UCGGCUUGGACUCAGCAACAAACAUUCCAAUUAAUUGUAAUUUUCCAGAAAUUUAACCGGAAAUGUGCAAUUAAUUACGAAAAACAAGGUGAAAUUUACCCACCUAAACUCGCUCGCUGUCGAAGCCGUUGUCUUCUUCUUCGUCGCCUAACGUUGCCUAAAAAAUCUUGGCUUGCACUGAAGUCGGUACUGUCUCAGAUGGUGGGUUAGG
rnacentral:lncRNA from 1 species